UACGUAGGGUGCAAGCGUUGUCCGGAAUUAUUGGGCGUAAAGAGCUCGUAGGCGGUCUGUCGCGUCGGCUGUGAAAACCCGGGGCUCAACCCCGGGCCUGCAGUCGAUACGGGCAGACUAGAGUGCGGUAGGGGAGACUGGAAUUCCUGGUGUAGCGGUGAAAUGCGCAGAUAUCAGGAGGAACACCGGUGGCGAAGGCGGUUCUCUGGGCCUGUACUGACGCUGAGGAGCGAAAGCGUGGGGAGCGAACAGG
rnacentral:rRNA from 1 species